AUCAAUCCAUAGACGGUCGCCCUGAUGUUUUUUCAUUGGGGAGGAAAGUCCGAGCUCCACAGGGUAAUGCAUCCCGCUAAUACGGGACCAUUGGCGGAGAGUUUUGUGAGAACAGAACUGCCGCCUUCGGGAUCAGAGCCACAGAGACGAGCCUUUGGUGUCGGGGGGAUUUCUUCCCGGUAAAGCGCCGCGCAAGCGGCACGCAUUGAAGGGGUGAAACGAGGCAAUCUCUGCAUGGAGCAAGGCCAAACAGGGGGCAAUGAGGUUACCCGCCUCGCGCUUCCGGGUAGGCCGCAAGAGUCCCGCGGGCAACCGGGGGAGUUAGUCAGAUGGCCGUCCACCUGCGGCGCAAGUUCACGCAAGUGCCUUGUGCUUUUGGGGGAACAGAACUCGGCUUAUGUGGAUUGAUACUU
rnacentral:RNase_P_RNA from 1 species